UAUCUACAAAUCUGUUAUGACGCUGGCGC
rnacentral:piRNA from 1 species